rnacentral:rRNA from 1 species
CUAGCCAAGGCGGACGGGUGAGUAACGCGUAAGGAACUUGCCCUGCAGUCAGGGAUAACAGACGGAAACGACUGAUAAGACCUGGUAAAGUCAGGCGGACUCAUGUCCAGCCUGAUGAAAAGAGAUGCUGCAGGAGAGCCUUGCGUCCUAUUAGCUUGUUGGUGGGGUAACGGCCCACCAAGGCGAUGAUAGGUAGCCGGCCUGAGAGGGUGGACGGCCACAAGGGGACUGAGAUACGGCCCUUACUCCUACGGGAGGCAGCAGUGGGGAAUAUUGGACAAUGGGGGCAACCCUGAUCCAGCAAUUCUGUGUGCACGAUGAAGGUUUUCGGAUUGUAAAGUGCUUUCAGCAGGGAAGAAAAAAAUGACGGUACCUGCAGAAGAAGCGACGGCUAAAUACGUGCCAGCAGCCGCGGUAAUACGUAUGUCGCAAGCGUUAUCCGGAAUUAUUGGGCAUAAAGGGCAUCUAGGCGGCCAGAUAAGUCUGGGGUGAAAACUUGCGGCUCAACCGCAAGCCUGCCCUGGAAACUAUGUGGCUAGAGUACUGGAGAGGUGGACGGAACUGCACGAGUAGAGGUGAAAUUCGUAGAUAUGUGCAGGAAUGCCGAUGAUGAAGAUAGUUCACUGGACGGUAACUGACGCUGAAGUGCGAAAGCUAGGGGAGCAAACAGGAUUAGAUACCCUGGUAGUCCUAGCUGUAAACGAUGAUUACUGGGUGUGGGCAUGAAGAGUGUCCGUGCCGAAGCUAAUGCGAUAAGUAAUCCGCCUGGGGAGUACGGCCGCAAGGCUAAACUCAAAGGAAUUGACGG